rnacentral:rRNA from 1 species
UGAGGAAUAUUGGACAAUGGGUGAGAGCCUGAUCCAGCCAUGCCGCGUGCAGGAAGAAGGCGUUAUGCGUUGUAAACUGCUUUUUGCCAGGGGAUAAAAAGACCGUGCGCGGUUAAUUGAAGGUACCUGGUGAAUAAGCCACGGCUAACUACGUGCCAGCAGCCGCGGUAAUACGUAGGUGGCGAGCGUUGUCCGGAUUUAUUGGGUUUAAAGGGUGCGUAGGUGGCCCUGUAAGUCAGUGGUGAAAUAUCUCAGCUUAACUGAGAGGGUGCCAUUGAUACUGCAGGGCUUGAGUACAGAUGAGGUAGGCGGAAUUGACGGUGUAGCGGUGAAAUGCAUAGAUAUCGUCAAGAACACCGAUAGCGAAGGCAGCUUACCAAGCUGUAACUGACACUGAGGCACGAAAGUGUGGGGAUCAAACAGGAUUAGAUACCCACGUAGUCCCUGAGCGGGCUGGCAAGGCGCAU